rnacentral:rRNA from 1 species
GAGACCCUCAUCUUUAGUUGCAACUAGUUAGUUCGCUUACUAGGCACACUAGAGAAACCGCUGGCGAUAAGUUAGAGGAAGGCGAGGGCAACGGUAGGUCAGUAUGCCCUGAAUCCCCCGGGCUACACGCGCGCUACAAAGGCUAGGACAAUGGGUUUCGACACCGAAAGGUGAAGGUAAUCCCGAAACCUAGUCAUAGUUCGGAUUGAGGGUUGUAACUCACCCUCAUGAAGUUGGAAUCCGUAGUAAUCGCGGAUCAACAUUCCGCGGUGAAUAU